rnacentral:rRNA from 1 species
AGUGGCGGACGGGUGAGUAACGCGUGGGUAACCUGCCUCAUACAGGGGGAUAACAGUUAGAAAUGACUGCUAAUACCGCAUAAGACCACAGCACCGCAUGGUGUAGGGGUAAAAACUCCGGUGGUAUGAGAUGGGCCCGCGUCUGAUUAGGUAGUUGGUGGGGUAACGGCCUACCAAGCCGACGAUCAGUAGCCGACCUGAGAGGGUGACCGGCCACAUUGGGACUGAGACACGGCCCAA